rnacentral:misc_RNA from 1 species
AAUUCUCAAGUCUUUCAAGUUUUUUCUUGGAUGAUUUGGAUUCUGAGGGUUAUGUUGGCUCUAGUAGUCAGACUCCCUUUAAAAAUAUUAGUGGCUUGUCGAUCCCCAUUAUUUGGUGUGAUAGCUCUAUCUACAUCAUAUGUAAUGGCAAGGUCAUGUAAUGGCAAUUUAGCUGCUCUCUAAUAGUCUAGAAAUAGACAAUUUGAACC